AAACAAAUCGCCCGCGUCCCCGUCCCCCACCUUCAUCGUCCGGAAAAAAAACCGCAAACAGGAAAAUACUAAACCGCUUCCCACGACUCCAGGCUGCCUCCCCAAUUCGUCUCGCGACCAACCUCCACGCCGCCUCCGCGCAUAUCCGUGAUGCGGCCCUCUUGUGCGAUUCUUCCCUCCACCCCUCGUCGCUCCCCACAAUCGAAACCAUUCCUCGAUCGAGAGAGCCGUGGCGGCGCGGGAGGUGCUAGACUGCUGGAGCACGGGGAAGGGGAGGGAAGGAGGCAGCAGCAGCAGAUGCCGGUGCCGGGCAGCCAGAACGGGCGGCCGAGGCCGUCCAAGGCCGAGACCAUCCAUGGCCUCGUGCGCGCCGGCGACCUCGCGGGCGUCCAGCGGAAGCUGCGGGAGAACCCCGCCCUCCUCAACGACAAGAGACCACGGCAUAACCCCAAUCCACGGAUGACCUGAAUUGAAUACACAAGAGUCAGACCUAAGAAACGAGAUCGAACACAUCGGAGACCUGAAUUGAAUCCACAUCGGAGACCUGAAUUGAAUCCUCGCAUGAUCUGCUCGUUUUCUGCCAGCAUUAUAAGCCCGUUUUCUGACUCCAUUGGUCGCUAACUUGAUCUCUAAAGCAGGUUGCCAUAACCUCGAGUCUGGGUGAGAUCCGCCGGCCACAGCUGAGGACGCGUGAAGAUAGAGGCGAUGUGCUGCAGAUUGGUGGCCACGUUCUGGAGCCGGAGGGGAACGGACACGCUCAGGCGACCGGGGGAAGAAGGCGGCGUCGGGGAUGGGGCUUGCUGGCCCGGCGGCGCGGGCUGCCACUUGAGAGGAAGUCAGGAAUUCAUGAAGCUCCCCCUCUCCUAUGAUCCGCACCCGGCGCCCUACCCGUCGUUGUACGAGUUCAACCAGAUGCUCUCGGUCCCCUCUGUCCACAGGGCUGGCGCCCCCGGUCCUCUGCUCCGCACCCAGAUCGAACGCCACUCGGCCACACAACAAAUUGCAGGUGUUGUUGAGGUGCUGCAGUUGUGUUGUUAAACGUUUGUGAGUAAAACGCUCAUAAGAAGACGUAUGAAUCGAAAACAGAACAGGAAUUCGUCAUAAAUGUCAUAUGUUUAAGAAUUUUUGCCCGACUAAGAAUCCUUCCUAGAAUGAAAAGAGGACAUUGGUGCACUCAACAACAAACUGAGUAACUAGGAAAAUAAGGAUCUUGAUGUCUCGAUCCCAAGAACAAUGACUGAUAAAGUUCUUGAUAGCAAGAAGAACAUUGUGCAAGGUCCGAUGAUAAGCUAUGAAAUUUUUGUAGGAAGUAACAUAAAGGGAGGCAUACAGGAAGCAUUUGCUAUGGCGUAGGUAAAGCAUAUAAGGCUCAACACCUGUAUCCCCCGUUUCUCUUUCUUCUUUUCUUGCAGUUGAUUGAUGGUGAUGGCUUUACAGACUCUAUAUAUCUGCUCCAUGAAUAUUUAUUGGCAUUUCCUUAGUUCUUUGAGGAGCCAUAUUGUUAUUAAGGUCUGAAACACCAAUUGUAUAUUUAUGGGCAUUUACAAGGUCUUUAAAUUCUUGACAGUCUACCAAAAUUAUAUCUGCUUAAGGUGCUGACCGAAUAACCUUUCCAUCCUGACAUUAACCAAUAAAUUCUUAAUCCAACAGCUAAAGACUUGUGCGAAAAUCUUUUAUCUGCUUCUAUGGAACUGCAAAUUGUUCAUCCGGACUGAACCGAAUCCAGUGGCAAAGAUAUACUGCAGAGCAGGUCUAAUCAACGGAGACUACUUCCAGUUGAUUGAGGAAAAUGAGGUGGUCUUUUUCAUUUGUCUUUGUUAGUAGUGAAUUGAAUAUAAAGCUACACUUAUAUAAACUGAAAUCCAAUUCGUUUGUAUUCUAACUUAUCUCUACUAUAUUAAAAAAAAUGGCUAGAGGUGGUGGGAUGGUUGGUACGUCCGUAGCAAUCCCGCCGUGUUAUCUCCGGCCAUCCAACUGCAGGCCGCGACCUGCAGUGACGUCGAAACCCUCCUCACGGCUGGGUAUUCGUUCCAUCCAACAGCUGUAUAGGUUGCCACAAUUGGUCGUUCGACUACAGCUUCAUCGCACACUACCUCUCCUCCUCGAACCUUAAUUGACUAUGCUUUCUGCUCUUCCUCUUUUACAGGUAGUAUUGAUUCUGGUUCCAGUCAAUUGCUUCAGGAGAACCUUGGAGUCGUGUGCGAUAUAUUGGCUUCGGGAGUUCUUUAACUAUCAAUUUCCGAUGGCUGUCAGCCAGAUGAGUUCCCUUGUACUUCCAGACCUCAUCUCUCUAUUCUUAAGUACCCAUGUCCUAAUGUAUGUGUACGCAGGUUUGCUUAGAUUAUUUAUAUAUACGGAUGGUGCCAUGAUACUGUUAGGUAUGGAUGUUGUUGUAUGCGGCAGGUUACUGAGAGAAGGCCAACUGAGAGUGUGAAAUAGAUGUUUCCAUGUUCAUGUUCUUCCGCAGUUCAUUUUUCUAACUUUUACAUACUUUGCUGAUACAUUCAGUGAGUGAGAUAGACGUGCUAUUUAUGUGUAAGAAUGAUGCCAUGAUUCAUUUUGGUUGCUGUAUGCGACAGGUUACCGAGAGGAAGCCAUUUGUUUGUGCUAAAAUACAUAUUUGGGUUGCAAAUUUGUGUUAAAAAUACAUUAUUUUCCAUGUUUAGGAAAUUUGAGUGAGACUCUUCGGAAAUUUGAGCUUGCAUUUACCGAGGUGCAUCUGAGUAGGAGAAUAUUGCAAUAAAUUCACUUGCAGCUAUGUCAAUGACCUGUACAUAACUUGCCUUUUAUAUCCUAGACGUUAUGGUUAGUAGUAAUGUAGAUUAUUUUCUGCUAUUAAAUAAAUGGGAUUUUCUGGUUUAGAAUUUUCCUUCAGCAUUCAUUAUGGUCACAAUAUAUUCGUUACUUUGGCAACAUUCAAGUUUUCAAGUGCAAUAAUUUUGGCUUAGAAUUUCCCUGACAUUUAUGUGAACUGAAUUUUCCUUAAGCAGUUUGUUAGGCAAUUAGAUGCACUAUCAAUCAAUUGAAAGUGCUCCCUGUACAGAGAGGUCCUUGAAUGAGGAGUAUCAAAGAUCAUUUUGGCGCUUUAAGUGUAAGACUUGCUAUUGGUUAGCGCAAUAGGAAGCUAGCAAAAUGGUGAUAUGUACACUAUCAAUUCUUAAAUUACAAACAGGUGAGUUUGUUUUGGGUCAACAAUUGCAAUAUCAUAUUCACUAAUAUUUUUUUACUAAUAAAGUGUUGUUUACUGGGCGCUAUGCCUGGCUACAGGUUAGGGACAUGUCGUUUUUGAAUCACUCUUAGUUACCACUGGAUUUACCCUUUUUUUUCCUUGGAAGUGUGUUAUUAUAUGAUUUCAUUAUUUCCUUGGCAAAUCGCAGCCUCUUAUUUGUAUCCUUCAGUUCAUCUGUUAGAGAGAAACAUAAUUCAAUGGUCUUGCAUUUUUUGAGAAGAUUAAGUGAUGGAAGAGUCGACUGAUAGAGAGAUAAAGUGAGACGGUACGUACAUUGUGUUAUUAUGCUCAGGAUAAAGUCUUCUCAACAUAUCUUUCUUGUGUUCAAUGUUAUUGCAGAAUGGCCGAUCAAGGAGAGCGACAACAUAUCAGAGAGAUAGAGCUGUAGUUAAAGACGAUCGACACGGAGUGCCUAAUGUUGGUGGAAGACUAUACCUAGAGUUGUAGUCAAAGACGAUGGACACGGAGUGCCUAAUGUUGGUGGAAGACUAUACCUUAUCAUCCCAGGUGUAGCCGUGUGGGCAUAAGAGAAAUGAGUGACCCAAAUGAGAGGAACGAGAGUCGGACAAAGUUUUUUGCCGUAUGUGUUGAGACACACGUUUACAUGAAAUAUUAUAGUUUGAUCAGAAUCCAAGUAUAUCUUUAUUUUUUUGGUAGCAA